CUAUGUCCGCUCCCGCCCAAAGCUUCCCAACAGACUUGGACUGCAAAUAAAGUGGCCAAAAAAGAAACCAAGAUCCUGAUGCUGCUUAACCAAAAGAGGGGGAAGUAAACCACAAAUCUCACAUCUUCUUGACCGGUCCUACUCUGAGCUCCAUCAGAGGGAUUUUUCUUGUAUGGGUUAUCUUUUACAUGUUUUUGCCCCAGUGCCAGCAUGACCAAAGGCUUUAACACUUGAAAAGUGGUAACAGCAGUGAAGUUCCCUCUUUGUGAUCUGUCUCACUAGCCCUUGAGUCAAGGUGCAUUUGUCCUGUACCUGCCAUUGGACUAUUGGCCUUUUGCUAAACCAAAACAAUCUAGGCCAUAACGAAAUUGAAAGAAGGCCUUCCUACUCUGUGGCUGUUGUGCAAUCAGUGCUCAUCAAGGAUGGCUGAAGGCACAAGACGAAACACACCCUGCGUUUGAGGCUAAGGUAUAUUAACCUUUCCACUUGGAAUGCCUAAUUGCUCAAAUAUUGCCAACAUUGUUCAAACUGCCAGAUAUGUUAGGGAACAGGCAGAACUGGAGGGACAACUCUAUAUAAGGGGUAUGACAAAUUUAUUGGGUAAAUUGUAUGGGAGUGCUUAACCCUUCUCUCUGUUCUGUUUUUUUGUAAGGACAACUGCCAAGUAGAGUUGAUUAUGACUAAUUCAUGUGAGGAAAUACAACAGAGAAGUUAAACAGCAACAACCAGUUUAAUUUCACUUGUUACCAAUAAGGCCUAACUUAAUUUUCAAAAGGAGAUGAAAGGGUUACCACCUUCCUCUCCCAUGUGGAUGUUGAGUGACACAGGUGAAGCCUUCAGCUGUCCUUCUGAUCCUGAUGGACCCACCAAAAGCACCAAGGAGCAACCAGCCCUGGCUGAAAAGCAGUGCAGGAGCACAGGAGCCAGAGCCGUGUGGCCAGCGAUGGAGACAAGAAGAGAGAGAGGGCAUCCCUGCCCCAUCCUGCACAGGAUACCUGCCCGGUGACAGGCGCAUUCCUCGGCCCCACCGCAUCCACUCAGCCCUGGCUCACGCAAUAAUUAGCCAAGUGUUUCCUGGCUGCCUUUAAUUACAGCCACAACUAUUUCCCUGGCUCUAAAGUAACGCCUCUGAACGACAGCAAAGGUUUUGGGCUGGAUCCCGCGCGCAGCCCGGUCCCAGCACGUGUUGGGGCGCAGCUGUGCACCGGCAGCCGCUGAU
rnacentral:lncRNA from 1 species